CAGCAUUCUCAGGGCCUUCUGCCAAGGGCCCGCUUUGAUCUCCCUUAAAGGACAGCAUUAUCUGACCAGAGGUAAAUUGUAACCACUGAAAGUCCGCUGUUUCGAUUCUGGGCAAGAUGCUAUGGCAGAACAGGGACCAUGAUGAACUACUUAGAAAAAUACAUAAGGCCAGACCCAUGCAGGAGACCUCUCCAGGUACACAUAUUUCCUGCUACUGAAUGGCUUAGACUGGGAUUUGCAAGGAACUACGAAGUCCAAGACCUUUGCCUUUCUUUUAGAAGAAGGCACCAGCUGGUUCUCCAAUGUUGAAGGUCUUCUCCAGAGAUACCUUAAGGUGUGGGGAGAUUACAACUUGCUCAAGGUCUCAUAGCUAGAAGAUGUCAGAGUGAUAACUCAAACCAUGUCACAUGACUCUAAGCCCAAAGCAGCCUCUAGAAGGUUGUUUGAUCUUCUGAUGGAAGCACAAAUCACCAUUCCAACAUGAAAGAUGGAGAAACUUAAGUCUAGAGAGAUUUAAAGGACUUGUCAAAGGCAAUGAAACAAG
rnacentral:lncRNA from 10 species